UACGUAGGGUGCGAGCGUUGUCCGGAAUUAUUGGGCGUAAAGAGCUUGUAGGCGGUCUGUCGCGUCUGCUGUGAAAAUCCGGGGCUCAACCCCGGGCUUGCAGUGGGUACGGGCAGACUAGAGUGUGGUAGGGGAGACUGGAAUUCCUGGUGUAGCGGUGAAAUGCGCAGAUAUCAGGAGGAACACCGAUGGCGAAGGCAGGUCUCUGGGCCACUACUGACGCUGAGAAGCGAAAGCGUGGGGAGCAAACAGG
rnacentral:rRNA from 1 species